UGGGGAAUAUUGGUCAAUGGGCGCAAGCCUGAACCAGCAAUGCCGCGUGAGUGAUGAAGGCCUUCGGGUUGUAAAGCUCUGUCGGCGGGGACGAACAAGCCAAGUAAUGCCUGGCCUUGACGGUACCCGCAAAGGAAGCACCGGCUAACUCUGUGCCAGCAGCCGCGGUAAUACAGAGGGUGCAAGCGUUGUUCGGAAUUACUGGGCGUAAAGCGCGUGUAGGCGGGUUGAUAAGUCGCGUGUGAAAGCCCUCGGCUCAACCGAGGAAGUGCACGUGAUACUGUCAGUCUUGAGUGUCGGAGGGGGUGGCGGAAUUCCCGGUGUAGAGGUGAAAUUCGUAGAUAUCGGGAGGAACACCUGUGGCGAAGGCGGCCACCUGGACGACAACUGACGCUGAGACGCGAAAGCGUGGGUAGCAAACAGG
rnacentral:rRNA from 1 species